rnacentral:rRNA from 5 species
CAACUUUUAACAACGGAUCUCUUGGUUCUGGCAUCGAUGAAGAACGCAGCGAAAUGCGAUAAGUAGUGUGAAUUGCAGAAUUCAGUGAAUCAUCGAAUCUUUGAACGCACAUUGCGCCCUUUGGUAUUCCAAAGGGCAUGCCUGUUCGAGCGUCAUU